GCGCUCCAGGAGGGCUCCGCGGCCUAUCAGCUGGUUGGUGGGGUAACGGCUCACCAAGGCGAUGACGGGUAGCUGGCCUGAGAGGGUGGUCAGCCACAUGGGGACUGAGAGACGGCCCCA
rnacentral:rRNA from 1 species